UUCCCCCAUUUUAAAUAAUCAAGGAAAGUGAAUUGCCUUUUGAGGUGAAUUCUGUAUGUCUUUGUAUACAUUUGAUGGGUCAUGGAUGAUAUUGGUAAGAAUCCACAUACAUGUAUAGGGAAACAGCAGUAAGUUGGUUUAUAGCAUCUUGCCUCGGUAUUUCAAGCCGCAAGGGCUUUCACCUAGCUAUGUGCUUGAAAGAAUAUAAAAAUAUGGCAUUACAAAAGACUCAGUGAAUUUUGUUUUAUAUUGUUUUUAGGAAUUUGACCCAGAGGCAGCGUGAAUUGAUUGAGGAGUUCUCAAAAGAAGAGCAUGGAGAAGAUGAUAAAAGGGAUGAGAAAAGGAAUGCAGCUGGCGCAUCAGGUUAACAAAGCUUUAUAUAUCUUGCUCUGCUUCAUUAUACUACCUAGCCGAAGCAGAAGUAAAAGCAAUUUUUUGGGGAUAUCGGAAGCAAAUAUAUUCCUCACACCCAACAUGGAGAGUUUUGUAGGAGUAAGAUUCAUGCAUUGUACCCUUUUCCUUCUGUUCUGAGAGGUAUGUGUAAUGACUUUUAUUAAUCAAAAGAUAAUUUAUAUAAAUUGCUAGUACCGGAGAAUGGCAAGUCUUAUAUAAUAGGUGAUUCUGUACAUAAACUAGUGUUAAGCUUUAUUGUAACACGAAUAACUGAGGUCACAUUUAAGGACUCAAUGCCAUUCCUUUCUAUUACGGUAAGCCAUUGGUCUGUUUGUUCUAUCAGAAUACCAUUUGCUUGACCUCAGAAUGACCUCACGUUUGUUUCAAGUUGAAUUGAACCAUCCGAUCAAGAACUAGGAAUGCACAUAAUAAAUCUGCAUUUGAAGGGUGUCUGUCGAUCCAGGGGCUUGUUUCUAGUCCCAUACUUUUGUAGAAAUACUGGUCGGAUAAUGUAGAUGCAGCAUAAUAGGUGAGCAGAUUGUACAUAUAUAUUACAGCGGAUUAGCAAUUUCUGAUACUGUAUGACACUACCUACUCUGAGUUUGUUGGAAAUGUCUUCUUUACAAAGGAGAAUAACAUCUAAGGUUAUCAAUCUAUAUGAACUUUGCAGUAUACACUCGUACUAUUUGCUCUGCUGCACCUUGGAAAGCAAUAUAAUCCACAAUAACUGUGGAUGAUCAGGGAAAGUAUAAACUAAACGUGUCAAUGCUUCCACAGCGGAUACAUCAAGGCAAAAACUCUAGUUACACUUGCACAUUAUAACCGGUAUAUUCGAGCGGCUAACUAACAAUUUAAUGUUUAAGAGUGCAGUUAAAAAUCGCUGGUUAAAAAUGUAUUAUAGAAAUUAGAUAAUUGAUUGCUGGUUAAAAGUGUAUUAUAGAAAUUAGAUAAUUUUUUUUUUGUCAGGAUAGAAUUUAGAUAAUUGUUUGGUAAUUUUUUUUUUUGAUAUUUGUGUAUUUUGAAUUAUAAUAUAAAAAUUAAUGUUCGGUAAAACAUGGAGAGUUUUGACAGUUUUACACAAAAGUUGAAAAAAGUAUUUUUUUUUCCAGAAAUAUGAGUUAAUCUGCUUUUCUUAAAAACACUUUAUGAGCUAAAAACUGUCGUUCUGAAAUAGUUUUUUUUCUGAUGAACACGAAUUUUUAUUGAAUUAAGACUCACCAUAAAAUAUUCUUAAUAUCAACAGGAACAUCUCUACUGUCGACUACUCGACUUGGAUAUGAAUGCGACUUAUGAAUGCGACUCUCGAGCUAAUGUCUGAGUAGUUAUAUUUGUAGACCGCUUAAUAAAAAACGAUGUUGUGUUUAUCUCUCUUAACAGAUCUCGACAUUCCUACACUAUCAUGUCAAAAGGGAACUGUAUACGAAUCUUACUUCUGAUGGCAUGUAUCAUCAGUACUUGAUAUGAAUAUGACUCUCGAGCUAAUGUCUGAGUACUUGAUACGAAUAUUUAAAAAUUAAAAUUAAAUAAAAAUUUAAAAUUAUAUACCUUUUAAAAAUAUGAUGAUUGCUUUUUUUAAAUGUUAGGAAUAUGAGAAAAGGGUUUAAUAUGUUUCAUUUAGUGCAAUAAACAUGUGAAACAUGCUAAUUUAAUUAUUUACGAUUAUUCAAUUUAUUAUUUAUAUUUUUAUUAUAUUUUGAUUAUCUAAUGCACAAUAAUUAAGAAAAAUACAAUAUUGAUGAAAUGAAUAUAAAUUCUAUAUCGCACAUAUAAAAUUAAGUAAAAUGUUAAUAUGCAUAAUUAAUAAUUCAUAAUAUUACAGUAUAUAUACUAUACAUUUAAUUUAUAAUAUAUAUAUAUAUAUAUAUAUAUAUAUAAAAUAUUUUGUGUCAGAUUAUUUUCGGGUUUUGAAUUCGGAUCGGGAAACAUCUUACGUUAAGAUAUCCAAAUGUGUUCAAUAUUAAAAAAGGACAUACUUCCUUGGAAUAUUUUAAACUUUCCCCCCCUAAAACUUAGCAAACAUAAUAAUUGGAUACAUUAUAAAAAUAAAAGAAAUUAGCAAAAAUACUGUUUUUCUAAAUUUUUUUAAAUUUUUAUUGUUUUCUGAAAAUAUUUGCAAAAAUACUUGUAAAUUAUCCGACUUAUGAUCCGAUUCGAUUCGAAACCGAUAAAAUUAAAUGAAUUAUGAUAUGGAUUUAGUUAGAUCCGAUCCAAAUCCGAUCCGUUAACAGGUUUAAGCCUGGCUCACAAUCUCUCGCAUUCAAGAUAGAUAGGGUUUUCUUUUCUCUCUUGUUUUGAGAGUCGACUCCCGUAUUAGGGUUCCAGCCGUCAAAUCUUCACUUCCAGUUCCAGAUCUUCAUCUUCUCAUCAAUUAACCUCUUCGCUCUCUCAUCCCAUCUAUUAUUUUACUAGUUUUUCAAUAAAACCAAGAUCUAAUCUUGUUGAGUACCUUUUAUCAUGGUUGUUAGUGUGUGCCCAUCCUUUUGGGAUGUCAGUGUGUGCCCAUCAUUUUUGGAUGUCAGUGUAAUAUAUUUUGGUAUUCUUAUGUGUCUUGAUAUGUCUUUCGAUUAUCAUUCUGAAAAGAAAUUAUACGAUGUUUUGGGUGGGAGAUCUGUAAGACUUGCAUCGAUCUUGGAACGAUGGUGGAUACCGCAAGAGCUCACCUUUCACCAUAAAUAUUUGUUCAUGUUUUGGGGACGUUUAGUGCUCUAGGAUCAGUUGAUUUGACUGAUAGUUCUGAGCAUUGAGUUACAGAUGAUGCUUAUGUGAAGUUCAAUUACAAUGCUACUAGUUUCAUAACUGAUAUAGGUUGGAUUGCUCGAGAUAUCAUUGUAAUACUUUUUAGAUCAAACAAUAUGAAUAUUCUAUGUGUUAAGCGAUCUGAAAACAAAAUAAAUAUUUGUUUAGUUCGUUUUUUGUUUCACAAUUAGAUUGUAGUUGAGGGUUUGUCCCGGUUGGGUUUGCGUUUCGUAUUAAUAAAAUCAUUUGUUUGUCCAGAAAAAAAGCCCGGCUGUUAGUUUAAACAUUUGCCCCAAUCAUAGAUGUACACUUAAAAUUCUUUUCUAUACAAAAUUGCAAAAAGAGUUGACAUAAAAAUAGAAUUGAUGUGAGAAUUGCUUUAAUUAUUAUUAACAGUUGUAAUUGUUAGAAUACAAUAUGAUCUUGCUAAGCCGUCCGUCCUCCUAACACCUCUAGGUUUCAGAAAAAUUGGUCACUUAAUAGUAAUAAAUUUAUAACUAAAAAUAGCCUAAAUUCUGACAUCUUCAAUGACAGAGUUACAUAAAAAUAAAUGUAGCAUACUUUAAUUCGUAUCGUUCACCAAAACCUCGUGCUCUGAGUUUUAUUCAACUUGGACUUUUUUGAAUUCUUGAGUUAAGUAGAUACUCCUUCCGUUUCAAAUUAGAUGUUCACUUUAAAAAAAACAUACAGUUUAAGAAAAGUGGUUGUUCACAAAUUAAUUGUAUUAAAUGAUCAAAAUAUAUGGAGUAAGAUUGAUCUAGGAAAUAUAAACAGGAGAUAUGUGGAGUAGAAUUGACUUUGGAAAUAUGAUUUUGUAUUGAAAGUUGAAGUGGACAAGUAAUUUGAAACAAAUUUUUUUUUUUGAAAGUGGACAUAUAAAUUGAAACGGAGAGAGUAUAUAACUGCAGAUCCAAGAGCCCUCUUUUUUCAUAUUUCAGCAACCCCAUCAAAUUCAAUGUCUAAGCCAAGGUAAGUACUAUGUGUUUCGAUAUGUCGAUUUAGUUAAAAAAAUUUGCAUUUUAUUUGCAGGUUGGAGGGCAAGGUAGCACUUGUCACCGGUGGCAGGUGCAGCUAGUGGAAUCGGUGAGCAGACGGUUGGAUUAUUGGCUGAAAAUGGAGCUCAUGUGGUUAUUGUAGACGAUGUUGAAGAUGAUGAACUAGGCCAUCAAGUUGUUGCAUUCCGAAAAGGUGAAUUAUCAUGAUUGUGAUGUUAGAGAUGAAGAACAAGUGGUGCAACAUUUUUCACUUUGGCAGCAGAGUAGUAGCCUGAACUGAUGCGCAUUUUACUAGCUAGUAGAUACCACAGAUAUACGUUAUGAAAAAGAUAGUUCAAUAUUUGUAUUAGAUUCCUAUCACUAUCCCAGUAGAUCCAGUUUCUCUUUUCUCAUUCUCUACUAACAAAUUCAAGAAUAACCAUCAAAUAUAAGUAGCUAAACGUCAAAUAAAAUUAGAAUCAGAAAACAUAAUAGUACACAACAGAUCUUAAUAAUAUUGAUCGAGUACACCACCACCGCAAGCUCGCCAAUUUAUGUACAACCACCCUCAAAUAAUAUCGCUAACACUACAACAUUCCCUACAAAACUGCCAGCUCACAACUGCUGCUUCUGCUAAUAAUGAAGCAAUCAGAAACAGCACAAAAUACAUUUGGAACGAGUUCGACUGAAAAUUCACUGAUUGACACCGCCAUCCAACAAGUUCCUUAAGCUACAGAGGGCUUCUGCAGAAAGGCUACAACAUUUUAAUCUUCUCUGAGGUGUUGGUGAUGCUUCCCUGUGAUCGAGGGAAGUAAAACAAACAAUGAUCACAGUGAGAUUAUCAAAAGUGUUAAGACGCAGAGCCUCCAUGACCAGGUCUCUAGCACACUGCCCGGGGUCAUCAUGACGCCUCAAGCCCCGGCGCACAAGGCUGAUUGCCUGCUGACUUGACAUUACAUCCCAAAUUCCAUCACAAGCUAUAAUGAGGAACUCAUCAUCCUCGGUCAGAACAAUCUGCCGGACAUCUGGCUCUGCAAUGAGAGGCGACGGGUUGCCCCGUGACAAUUUCAGGUCCCAAUCACCCAAAGCCCGAGUUACUGAUAGUACGCCAUUGAGAUAACCAUCAUCAAUAAACCCGCCCAGCUCUUCAACUCGUUUCCUUUCUGAUGCAUAACUUGGUCUGUGGUCCUGAGACAUGUCAAUAGCCUCCCCUUUUCGGCACAGAACUGCUCUACAAUCUCCAGCAUUGGCAACCAAUAGACGACUGCAGAAGAGGGAAUUAGUGUUAUAUUCUGAUAUAGCAAGUCACUGUUGGUCAAAGUCAGGUUAGAGAGAGAGCGUACAAUGAAGGACAUGACAUGGACAAAUGGUCUCAUGCAUAGGCAAAUCAUUAAUUUUUUUUUAAAAAAUAAGCUAUUAUGAAACAAUGAGCCUAGAAAUUUUGGUUAAUGUAUUUACUGAAAGAGACAUGUCUUGCAGGUAUUACCUUCAUGUCUACGUUAAGAGACACAAGUCAAAAUAUUAAGCUUUUGAUUCUAAUCACGAUUAGAAUCAGCUUAUUCUUACUGAGAAAAAAAUGAUAAAUCAACUUCCGAUUUUUAAGCCUGAGCGGAUGCUAGGAAAAUAUUGCAUAAUCUCAGCUUCUGGAGAUUUCAUAACCUAUAAGGUAAGGAUUUUUGUCAAGUUAUCCACAUUAAAAUCAGUUAAAUCUCUUACAAAGUAUAAUUGCAAGAAAGAAAACAAUAAAGCACCUAGAGUGAUAGCUAAACAAACCAACAGUUUUCCUAUUGACACAAUACGAAGCUUUCACAAUUUGGAGAGUAAUCCUAAACUGGGAUAGGAGUAGCGAUUCCAGGAUGGACAUAUACCCCUCAACAUUAUUAUUGAUAUUCAUAUUCAAUCACGUGUAUAAUUGCAUUAACUCUGGAUAUAUCAUAACUAGGAGAAGGAAACUAGAAGCAAAAUUUGCAAUUAUCCAUCAUUUCAAGCGAGGGACUACCACUGGAAUAUUAUGCUUUCUUCGACUCAUUAGGCACCGAUUAUGCUCUUUAAAGCAACACUACAGUAAGAUUAAUGUAGAAAUACCAAGGCAUAAGUUUGUUCUGGUAACAACACCUUAAUUUAUUUACUUUUUAUUUUUGAGAAAAGACCAUAAUUAUUUAUUAAUUCUAUCAAACAAUAAAUUUGCAUUUAUUCAGAAUUUACUACACAUAUCCCAAAGAUAAUAAAGCGCCUCAAACACUCCCACCAAGCACACCAAUACUGGAUCUCCAGCUGNCUCAAAUCCUACACUUGACAGCUACUUAAAUGUGAUAUCUCACAAGACCUCAUCCUAUAACCUUAUCCCACACUUGACAUCUACUUGAAUGUGAAAUUUCAUCCGACCUCAUCGUGUAACUCCAAAAACCAUUCGACCUUCUUGAGCAAUAAAAGUAUUACUUAAAAAUGAAGAACCUAAAGAUUUAAUCCAUUUAAGCACCCAGAUAGUCAUAUUCCUUGAAUAAGAAUACCCAACAUAAUUUUAAAGAAAAGUCACAAAAAGAAAUAUGAAAAAGGUCAUGUAGAGGUAAAUGCAGUUAGCAAACAAUUAUAGAAUGUUAAAAAAAUUAGGUUUGUGUUUUUUACUACAUUGCAAAUAUUAAAACCGGUAACUUCAACAAGAAACAAUGACGGCUUGAUAUGAACACCUAUAGAGAAGAAGGAGCCACUAAUAUCUACCGUAUGUAAGAUAAAACCAAAGACUCCAUUUUUAUCGAUUGAACAAUUUAUGAGUGAAUCCUAUAGUAUCACAAAACAUUUGCAAAUCACUUAGAAGAGACAAAAACAGAAAAACGAACCGUGACGACACACAGACACAAACUUCAAAGACAAAGCCAAACAGCACUCAAGAAUAUAACACUGUAUUUACCCCAUCUACUAACUACAAGUUUUAAGGUUUGGAGAAAGUUGAUAACUUAAGGAAUUCAUGUAAUGCAGGUAUUUGUAGGAAGUUCAGCCCUCAUCGCCCUGACAUUCUCAAAUUAUAUUUUUGAACCCUAGCAUUGAGCUACUCCUUGGAACCACAUACUGGAAUGGGCUUCUAGUUGAGGUGCAUAUCAACAUAUGCAGAUAACAAAUAUUAAACCCCCACCCCUCCCCUAAAUUUUGGGAGACUUGGUCAACUAAAGCUGCAUGAGACAUCUGGUCAGUAUCCAAGCUCUCGAUUUAUUAUUUUUUUCAUAAUUUUUUUUUGCUGAACUAUCAAUUAUCCAAGGUCUCAAUUGCUACCACAAAAGUGCGUCAAAUUUUUCUCGCAACUUCACACAAAUAUCUACAGUUUUAUUUUAUGUUAUUUUUUUUUAAAGAAGAAAAUCUCUCACACAAUCCAACACUUGGAUACAAAUAUAAAAAUUAAUGUUAUCGAUAAAGAGAAUCCUGCAAAUCGUAUUUUUAAUAAUGAAAACUUCUCUUUCAAAAAAAAAAAUAAUGAAAACUUCAAGUUCUUUUAGAAAUUAUACAAAAAUUUAUUUUUCAAAUAAGAAAAGUCUACACUUAAUAAAGGAUCAAAUAUGAUUAACUAAUAAUAUUAGUAUUCUAAAAAUCCCUGAUUUAAUCGAUUAAUCCUCGAUUAAUCCUCUACAAUGUAUCUCGCCAAUUCAAUUUUUAAAAUCCGAUUCUCAUAAAUUUUUCUCUAUUGGAGUAUAUAUAUAAUUUAUUAAAAUUAAAAUACUAUUUUCUUUUAAAUAUGAGUAAUAAUAGAAUUUAUGAUAUAAUAAAUAUGUAUUUGGUAAUAAAUAUCUAUAAUCACAAGAAUAUAUUAAAUUAUAUUUUAUUAUUAAAAUAUAUUCGAUUUUCACUCUCAUUAAUCCUUAUGAUUAAUCCUAAUUUUCGAUUUAUCUUAAAUCGGUAUCCAAUCAAUUAGUUUCAAAUUUCAAUUUUUAUGAUUUUUAUAACCCGGAUAAACCAGUAAGCCAUUCAGAUCAUCCACACCCUCUUGUUAAUGACUAAUCAAUCAAUCGAAAAUUAAACAAAAAUGAUUAGUUUGUGUAUUAAUCAAUAUCUUAAAAUCAUAAAAUAAAUAUUAUUUAUUCAUUUAAUGUAUUAAUUUACACAAAUAUGAAUUGAUUAGAAUAAGCCCGAGUGAUAAAGAUAUAUCUCUGUCGUCCUAGGUGGAUCCUCGCUAGUCUCAAAAUUUAUUUGAAUAUAGAUACUCUUUUUCUUUUUGAGUAAAAUAUAGAUAUUUUUUGUAAGGUUAUAAAUCAACUUCCCGUCAGAAAAAAAAAGUUAUAAAUCAACUUAGUCAAAAAUAAAUAAAUUCAGAGGCCCAGAUAAAAAAGCUUUAAAAUUCCGGUGGGAAAGUAUCUUGCAUAAAAUAAACUGACAAUUAAGUCGGCAAUUUUUUAAAUCCAUAAUAAUCAAUCGUAAAAAAAUAAACGGUCAAAAAGCAGAGACUAAUGAAUGAUUUUUGAGAACACAUGCACAGAUAUGGUACCUAUUUGUAAUAAAAAAACACAUGAAAAUGUUUGAGUUCUUUCUUUGACUGCUAUCAAACCAAAGCAGCAAAAUACAGAAAACAAACAACAAAUCCAAAGUAGACUCCUGGUCCCCCAAUCUCAGUAACCCAUCAUGCUCAGCUAGUUAAACCCCAAGUUUGGGCUUUUAUUGUUAUGAUCAGAUGUUUUAAUUACAAGCCCUCCACUCAUUUUGAUUCUUUUUGGUAAAUUUCUGAUCUUUUCUUGGUUUUUGUUGUAAAGAUUGGAUUUUUAUCAAGUUUUAAUUUUGUGUGGAUCUUGGUUUUGUGAUAUAUGUUUGUGUAUGUGUAUUUGGUGGAUCUUUGUUGUUUUAGGGUUGUCUUGAAUUUGUUUCUGCUUGUGGGUUUUUAAUCAGAUUGCAAUUUGUUUAUAAGAUUAUGUUUGAGGGUUGUGUUAUCACCUUAAGUGGACUGUGUGUGAGUGAAUUUGAAAAAAUUGAUUAUAAGGUUGAUUUGUUGUUCUUUUUUCUAGCUUUUGGGGGUGUUACUAAUGAGAAUAGUUGAUUUAAGAGGGUAUGCAUUAGGGUCUGGAUUGAAUUACUUGAUUGUAAAUUUGAGUGUGUACAAAUGUGGUAGUCUUAAGUAUAAUCAAUUGGAGAUGAUAGUGAACUUUGCUAUGGCACUUGUGACUGCAAGUGCCUGUGGAAUAUUCAUGCUAAUACCGUGUAUGAGGUGCAAACUUAUUCCUUAGUAUGUGUUAGCUGUGAACAGCUUUUGGAACAAGACAUAUCAUUGUACUUGAUGGUUUUUUGCUUAUAAAUCAGUAUAUAUACACUUGUGGAAUACUUGGAAAGAAUUCUUGUUCCAUUUAUUCUUGCUGCUUGUUUAUAACUAGGGAUAGUAUUGCGGUUGCUCUUUAUUUUUUUACAUUAGGGGACAAGUGCUUAUCAAGUUGAAAAGCUUCUAGCGGGUGGCAUUAAUAUCGUGAUAGGGGUAUAUGGGUUUUGCUACUCAUUCUAGAUAAGGCAGAUGUAGUCUUUGUCUUAUUCUUCUAUUAUGAUUGUGUAGAUAAACCAACGUAUGCUAAUUGUAGGUCAUAUUAAAUUGUUGAUUUUGCUUUUGCAGUCAAGGUAGGAUUUUUGAAGCACCCCGUGUUUUUAAUCAGUUUGAGCGUAACAGCCAAUGGCUUCAGUUAGUGUAGUUCCCACAUUGGGAACAAAAGAACCUAGUGAAAACAGUGCUGGUGUUGAUAGGCUUCCCGAAGAGAUGAAUGACAUGAAAAUUAGGGAUGACAAGGUACAUGCCGGGCUGUAUAUAUGUGUGUGUGCACAUAUGAUAUCCUUCCAUUGUUGUUCUAGUAUUUAAUGCUCAGUUAAUAUAUAUUGAUCUUAACUACUGGUCCAGGAAAUGGAACCAGCCAUAGUUGAUGGUAAUGGGACGGAGACUGGGCACAUUAUCGUGACAACUAUUGGUGGUAGAAAUGGCCAACCAAAGCAGGUAACUCUUGACAUCUUAUAAUUUAGGCACGCUACCAUGUCAAAUUAUAUUUGUUGUGCUGUAAUUUGAAUUUGUUCAGUGUGCUGAUCCAGACAAUUAGCUAUAUGGCUGAGCGAGUUGUUGGGCAAGGAUCAUUUGGAGUAGUUUUUCAGGUCUGUUUCCACUUUCCAGUGUUGACUUAGUUUCACGGUCAUUUCCUUUCAAAGAGGGAUGCCCAUUGAUUGUAAUCUAAAUUUUUAGUUCAGUUACCUUUUUAAAUUGAUACAAACAACAUUUGGUUGUUUCAGGCAAAAUGUCUAGAGACUGGUGAAGCGGUUGCAAUCAAAAAGGUUCUUCAGGACAAGAGGUACAAAAACCGGGAGUUGCAAACCAUGCGUGUUCUCGAUCACCCAAAUGUUGUCUCGCUUAAGCAUUGCUUCUUUUCAACGACGGAAAAGGAAGAGCUCUAUCUUAACCUGGUAUUAGAGUUCGUCCCAGAGACUGUUCACCGGGUGAUCAGACACUACAACAAGAUGAAUCAAAGAAUGCCUAUGAUUUACGUGAAACUUUAUAGUUACCAGGUAUGCUUUAUACAGCAUCAACAUAAUAAUUUACCCUCCUUCCCCUCCACUCAAGCAUGUAGACACAUUCCAUAAUAAUAAACAAUUUCCCCUCCCUAAAUGCUUAAUCAAGUAUCUCGUUGAUGUAAAAUUCCAUCUGUUCGCUUUUAUGGUAAAUAUGUAGUUCUUUAAUAAUUAAUACUAUCCUUUUGCUUAUAAUUUUAAUAAAUCUCUGGAUUAAUCUAUACAUAAUGUUUUGGGCAGAUUUUGAGAGCACUGGCUUACAUUCAUGGCAGUAUUGGAGUAUGUCACAGAGACAUUAAACCGCAAAACUUGCUGGUAAAUUUACUGAAAUAUUACCUUUGAUCAACACAAAAUAUUUGUCUAUUAUCUAGCCUCAUCAACCAGUAGUUAUAUUACCCCCAUAAUGGCCUACUCAAUGGGUACCCAAAUGAACAGCUUAUAGUGAAUGUAAUCUAAGCAUACCUUAUAUUUGCUGCAUCAUGUAAUGAGGACAGUGAACAGUGGACAUCGAUGUUUAAGUUUAAUAUGGAAUAUUUAAGCUAAUAUUGAAUUUAAUAAUGGAAUUUUCAUCCCAGGUAAACCCACAUACUCACCAAGUAAAAUUAUGCGACUUUGGAAGUGCAAAAGUUCUGGUUAGUAUUGAUACAUCCUGCUAUGAUAGAUCAAUUCACUUAUCCAAAGUAACUUUUAUUAAUAUUGAGUCAAAUUGUGCAGGUAAAAGGAGAGCCAAACAUUUCUUACAUCUGUUCUAGAUACUACCGUGCCCCGGAACUUAUAUUUGGUGCAACGGAAUACACUACUGCCAUAGACAUCUGGUCUGCUGGGUGUGUUUUGGCCGAAUUGCUGCUUGGACAGGUAAAUAUAGCUUAACAAUAUAUAUUUUGUCUUUGCUGAUCUGAGAACCUUGUAAUCUAUUUGCUUAUCUAAACACUUAUUGGUGAUCUCAGCCCCUCUUUCCUGGUGAGAGUGGAGUGGACCAGCUUGUGGAAAUUAUCAAGGUUAGUUUCACCUGCAAGUAUAUAGAUAUGUCAUGACUUGCUUUCCUCGCACGUGUCAAAAAUUUACAUAUGGGAUUAUCUUGGCUUAUUGUCAUUUUACUACAAGUAGACCUAAACAAAUCAUUUUAUGAUCUCCGGUGCCGUCCAUAUUCUAUAUUAACUCAUGAACUUCUUCCUUUACAUAUUAUAUAUACCUGAUGAGGAGGCUGGUUCAUCUGUCGAGAAAGGACCUGAAUACAUCUAUUAAUGCAGGUUUUGGGUACACCUACUAGGGAGGAAAUCAAAUGCAUGAAUCCCAACUAUACAGAAUUCAAAUUUCCACAGAUAAAAGCUCAUCCAUGGCACAAGGUAAGAAUGAGUCAAUUUAUUGACAGUUUGGAUUUUCAGUUUUUAUGUGUGUGAUGUUCAUUAGUAGUGUUGGGGCACAGAUAUUCCAUAAGCGCAUGCCUCCAGAAGCCGUGGAUCUUGUGUCACGUCUGUUACAGUAUUCUCCGAAUCUUAGAAGUUCAGCUGUAAGCACACUAUCCAACUUGUACAUGUUUCUCUUUACAAAAAGAUUACCUGCACUUGGUUUUCCUAUUGCCCAGCUAUUAUUACACUGUGUUUGUCCAAGAACAACCUGAUGAAAACUCUUUCCUUGACUAUUUCUUCUAUUUUGAAAAUGAUGAGGAAACCCUAUUUAUCUUUACAAGUCGACAUCUUUGCCUUAUUAUGUACAUUGUCUUGCUCCAUUGCAGUUGGAUGCUUUGAUGCAUCCCUUUUUUGAUGAGCUUCGAGACCCAAACACCCGCCUACCAAAUGGGCGAUUUCUUCCUCCGCUGUUCAACUUCAAGUCUCAUGGUAAGGUUCUGUCAAGACUAUUACAUUUGCUCCUUUUUUAUUGCAUGUUGUAACUGAUUUUUUUUUUUUUCUUUUUGCUACUACUAUUUUUAGAGAUAAAGAAGGUGCCAACUGAGAUGCUGGGAAAGCUGAUUCCUGAACAUGCGAGAAAGCAGUGUGCAUCCAUCAGUGCAUGAGUAUUCUUCAGUAUCUAUGUAUUUAUGUACUCUAGUUGUAGGCAAAACUAAAAGUUUAUGCUCAAUAUGCUAUCAUGUGGGGGUAUACUGACCCUUGCGUGUAGUUCAUGACAUAGUUGUAAUAGUUAAUCGUAUGCAAAGCUUAAUAUGUUUUUAAUUAGAACUAGAGAUGGUUUUGGAGUUGCAUCGUGUUAUCUUUUAUGCGCCUCUUUUCUUGCUAUCUUGCUGUUUGUUCCAUUGGCCAAUCAGUGUAUAUGGCUAGAUGUGAUCAAUCCGUUCUGUUAAAGAGUUGUGUGCUUUUAUAUGCUGGGGGUGGUGUGUAUGGCUCUGAAGUGUUUAGGAAACGUUAAUGGCAAUGUGAGUGGAGAACAUGAUUACUUUUUAUGGGUUCGGGAGAGAACUCAUAGAACUCUUAUCUUAUUUCUAGUCUCUAUGUAUUAUCUUUCAAAAUUAUUUUUGAUUACACACAACGAUGAAAAAACAUGAAAAAAACAUGCAUUUAGAUUUAGAUCCUAAAAAUCUAUUUAAAAUUUAGGGUUUUGCGGCAGAAAUUUAGUGGGUCUAUGGUCUAUUUUAAGGAUUGGUUAGCGUUACCCUACUUUUUACAUGGCUGAAAAACUUUAUACUCCCUCCAUCCCAAAUUAGAUGACUCUUUUGAGAAAAAAAAUUUAUCCCAAAAUACUUGAGUCUCCCUCUUUUCAAUGCAUAUUUAUCAUCAAUCUUUCAUCCUUACCUUUUUUUAUUUAUCAUUUCCAAUGUUACAUCUUACUAAAACUAUCGAAAGUCAACGCAAUAAAUAAGGACAUAGAUGGAAAAAAGAUGAAUCAUUUAUUACUCCUUAAUAUGUGUGAAAUGAGCAAAAAGCUCAUCUAAAUUGGGAUGGAGGGAGUACACCCUCCAUUUCUCUAAACUCAGAGCGCCUAGCCCUAGAUUUCAUCUCUUCGUCAACAAUGAAGCUCGUCAGGUUUUUGAUGAAAUUGAACAACGAGACUGUCUCCAUUGAGCUUAAGAAUGGGACUAUUGUUCACGGUACUAUCACAGGUGAAUCUCCCUCCCCCCCCUCUCUCUCUCUCCCCCUCCCUCCAUAUAUAUAUAAUAUAUGUGAACAAGAAGUUAUUGAAUUGAAUCGAACAUUAAUUUGAAUAAAGUGUCUGAACUCUGAGCGUGUAGCUUUUUACUUUAUAGUGAAUUAAAAGUCCAUAUGUUCUUCAUUUUUCUUACACAUAAACUCUCUCUCUGGACAAGAAAAAAACCACCGACCGUCAAAUCGUCAAUGAUCUUGAAUUUGCCGUCCACACUUCGAUCCCUCCCGUAAAAUACACAUAAGUUACAAAAGGCUUUUCCGAUCCGAGACGAUGUUUGAUUAUUGGUGUCCAGAUUCUUGCGGCACUGGAGCGUGUUUCUGAGAGAGAAAGAUUUGUUCGUGAUCACCCCGUUGCACUUUGUUUCUUUGUUACUCUGCAUUUCUUCCCUAGAUUCACUCCCCUCUCUCAUUCCUUUACAUUAUAUUCACGCACUAAAAACACUUUCAGUUUCACAUUUCAACUUGCGGUUAUAUCCUCCACCAACUGCCCUCCUUUCUUCCCCUCAAUUCUACACUUGUCACAUAUAUAUUGCAUGCCAGCAGUUUUCCCGAUUAAGAUACUUGAAGCCGCAGAAGUUAAUUAUCAUUUGGCAACUAGAGAUCAUAAAUUCUUUGGCCUCCAUACGGGCUCAGAUCAUUUAUUGAUAGAUGAAUUAGCGGCAAAGAGGUUUUAGGUGUUUUGGCGUUCUGCUUUGAUGCAACGGCUCGGAUCAUUUACGGACAGAUGCAUUCUUGAUAGAGGUAAGUCCCAUGUGUUCAAAAUCAUGGGCCAAGGUACUAUCUAUUUAUAUUUCACACAAAAUUAUGUCUUGCACAUAUUUUACCCUCCCAGACCCUGCUCUAAGCGGGAUAUACUGGGUUUGUUUGGUUUGGCUUGGAGUACACCCCAUGAGCAGUUCUGUUUUUCUUUUACUUUUCGGUUCAAAUACCCUUGAAAUGGGACGGUUGCAAGAUCAUAUAGGACAUGUAUUGAGGAAAUUAUAUAGGUCCUGCAAUUUACAAGAAGACGGCAGGUUUGUUUGACUAUUAACAAUUUUGUGGAAUUUUGGAUGCCAUCUCUUCAUGAGUUAUGUUUUAUGAAGAUCAAUGUUUACUUGAGGACCGUAUCAAAAUAUUGCAGUAUUUUGAAUAUGAUAUUUUAAAUUUAAUUAUCGUUAACUUUUGUGAUUUUAAUUUCAACAAUUCACCUUUUUUCUUCAUGACAAAAUUUAGAAUAAAAUUUUAUGAUGAUAACAUAUUUGUUUUACAAAAAUAUUAUUUUUGAACCACACCUCAUGGAGAUUAGGUAAUUAGUUACUCCUAUCAUUUAUGAUCGGUUCCAUUUAGCUAAGAAUAGGAAUUAGGAGGGUGUAAAGACGAAUAUAAUAUGUAACUUAAUAUUUUGACGCAUUAUUCACUUGAGGGUUUUGUAUUUGUAAAAAUUGUCAAUUUUGCAUUGUAAUUAGAUACGUGGUAACAAACAUCAAAAUCGGAGAUCAUUUAAAUUACUGAAUUAGGGUAGUAGUAUCCAUCGGAUGAUUUCUAAUACACUCACACCGCCAUAGGUUCGAAUUCUCCAUAUCCUAUAAAGGAAGCGAAGGAGAUACCGCUACACCAAGAAGUGUCGGGUAGACAUCAGUCACAUCACAAUAGAAUUUUGCACCGACUUGGUUCAGUUUUAUGCAACAUAUCGAUGUCAACAUAUUUAGAUAUGAACCAGAGCAGGAUACAAAAAAAGGAUUCAGUAUCUCCAGAACUCCACUGACUAUAUUUAACUUGUAUAUUUGCAAAGAUAUGAACACUUAUUGCAGGGGUGUACGCGGUUCGGAUCAGAUCGGUUUUAGGAUCAAAGUCGAACCAAACCGUAAAUAGCGGUUUUAGAAAAUCUACAACCACAACCGCAUUUGCGGUUGCGAUUAACCACAUAAUUUCAACCGCGGUUUAGCGAUUAUGCGGAUCGGUUUGCAUCAUUUUAUUCUAGUGUCCCCCAACACCAAACUACAGUAAUUCUUACAUGAUCUUCCCUGCAAAGGGCAAUAAAUAUUAUGGUUAUAGUAAGAGUGAAUAUGUAAGAAUCUAAAGACAUGUUUAUAAUUUUUAUUAGCAUGCAGUACUAGGAUUAAGGUAGCCGAGCACCGGAUUUGAAGGAGUCUUACAAUUUAUAUUAGUUAUUACUCAUUAGUCGGACACUUUACAUUUUAUAUUUCUGAAUGUUAACUCAUUCAGUAAAUUUAUUAAUAUUUGCUAAUUAGGAGCAGAGAAUGUUUAUAAAGACUAAAGAGUAAUGGGGAAAGAAUACAUUUUGUAGUGUUACUGUUACACCAUUCUCCUUUUUGGACAUUCUGUUUUAACUUUCAAGCCAGCUUCCACCUUGUCAAAAGACAUGAUGAAAGAAUUUAGCUCAUGUUGAUUUGCAUAACCUAACUUGAAAGUCCCUCGGACAAAUAUUAGUAGUUUUUAUAGUUUGCGAGAAGAAUGUGUAAAUAUGAAAUCAGUCUCUAUUAAUAUAACUAAACAAAGGUCAAUUAAAACUAAAUAUGAGUCCACACUUCAUUUUCUCUAAUCACUAUCGAUAGUUCCAAACAACUUGUCUAUUUUAAUAAUGGCAUCUAUGCGCAUAUAUAGCAAUGCUGCUUUCAUUUCUCGCAUUCAAUUUUGCCAAGCCAAAUAUCAUUAUCAUAAAAAACGCAAACAUUCGCCUCCAAUAUCCCAAAUUUCUCAGCCUCCAUCUGGUGCACCAGCACCAGGACCAUCUAAUGAACCUCCAAGUAAAAUUGGUGCUGUCGCAGAUGGCAUGACUGAUGACACUGAGGCAUUUAAGACAGCUUGGGACACCGCUUGCCAAUUUGAAUACGGGGUUAUUCUUGUUCCUAAUGGUUACUCUUUUAUGAUUCAGUCCACAAUUUUCACUGGCUUCUGUAAGCUAAGGGCGGUCUAGUUUUCCAGGUAUGCAUUGUUUUCUUUUUUAAUCACUAGUCCUGCUUGUGACAGCUUUGGGACUUUUAUAUUGAAACUUAAUUUUUUUUUUGUUUUUACCAAAUUAAAAGGUUGAUGGCACACUAAUGCCACCAGAUGGACCUGAAUAGCAAACAUCAAUGGCUGGUGUUUUACAGAAUCGACGAGAUGUCUUUGCAAGGUGGUGGUGUGAUUAAUGGAAGAGGAGAAAAAUUCCCUGCAAGCCUCACAGGGUAUGUCAGUAUCUCUUUUGAUUCAUCAAAUUGCAAAUUCAGAAGAUAAAAAUUGAUAUAUGGACAAUGUAAACUGUUAUGCAGGGACCUAACAUUGCCAGGACCAUGCGACAGCCCAGUUGUAAGUAGAAAAUUUUGACUCUUAAGCUAUGGUAUCUUAUCUCCGUAUUAAACUUGUAAAAUAGGCAGGCUAUCAGGUUCUUCAUGAGCAACAAUUUGACAGUGCAAGGACUUAAAAUAAUAGACAGCCCUCAGUUUAACUUGAGAUUUAAUAAAUGCACCAAUGUCCAUGUAGAAUCAAUUCACAUUACAGCUCCAGCUUUAAGUCCUAUAGAUUGUAUAUAGUUUGCAUCAAUGUAUUAAUCAUGUAAUUUUUUUUUUUUCCUUUUUUUCAAAUUAUACCAAUCAUGAUUUCCUGUUAUAUAUGAGCAUGUAAUCUUUGAAGAAGGAUAUUAUUAUUAAAUCCUUCCAUCAUUAUGAGUGUGACUUACAUAUUAAUAAGAACUUCUCUUUAUACUUUAAAUGUUACACUUAUGCGUUAGUCUAUAUAUCCUACAAGUGAUCCUGCACUCAUCAAACAAUGGCCAUAUAUCCAGCAAUAUAUAUCUUUCACCUGAAAAGAAUUGAACGAUCCUAAUACAUUGUACAUAUGUGAAAAUUAUAAUAAAUUUCAUUCCGUAAGUUAAGUACUGUCAGAUGAACAAGUACAUUGAUCUUUGCACGAUCUCGAGUAUACUUGACUCCUAACAAUACUCUACUACUUCUAAUAAAUCUCCUAAAAUAAGAUAGACUCAAUACCUCCUACAAACUCUCUAGAAUUCCAACAAUCAUCCAACUACUUCAAUCUAGAAUUAAUCCUCAAAGUAAAUAACUAAACAAAUCUAUACUAUACUAUUAAAGCCGAAACAUUAAAAGUUUGGUCGGUCGGUACGCGGGCUUUUAUACGGACUUUUAUAAUUAGCGGGCUUCAAACAAAAUUAAUGGGCUAAGUUUGGUGGAUCGGUACGCGGGCUUUUAUACGGACUUUUGUAAUUAGUGGGCUUCAAACAAAAUAUAAACAAAUCAAAACAUAAAACAAAUAUACGACCUAUUUGACUAUACCAAAACUAAAGUCAAACCUUAAAAAAUAUUAUACUAUUAAAACUGAAACAUUAAAAAUUUGGUCGAUCAGAACACGGGCUUUUAUACGGACUUUUAUAAUUAGCGGGUUUCAAACAAAAUUAGUGGAUUUCAAACAAAAUGUAAACAUAUCAAAACAUAAAAAAAAUAUAAGAGCAAAAUAUAAAACAAAUAUAAGACAUAUUUGACUUACCAAAAACUAAAGACAAACCUUAAAAAAAUACAUAUGCAUCUAUAUUUACUAUAUUAUUAAAGCCGAAACAUUGAAAGUUUGGUCAGUCGGUACUUGGGCCAUAAUACGGGUCUAUCUAUAUACCAAUUAUUCUUUUUAAGUAAAAUAUGUCAUCUUUUUUUAUAUUUUCUAACUAAAAAAACUCCAUCAUUUAAAAUAACAUCGAAAAAUAUAGUAAUUACCUUUUUAACUAAAACACAUUAUCUUUUUUAUAUAUACUAACUAAAAAACGGAUUUUCUACAAUUAACACGGACUACAUAUAUAUAAAAAUAUAAUAUUAUUAUAUAUAAUUAUUAAUAAAUAACUUGUGAUAUUUUUCAACCAAACACAUUAACAUUAUUUUUAAAUACUCUAAUGGACUCACUUUAAAAGUAAUAUUAUAAAUCUAUAAUAUACUAUUAUACUGUUAAAUCAUGACAAUUUCAGUUAGUCGGUCGGUCGGUCGAGUUCGGUGAGCCAGUUGGUAUUCGUCCCAUGAACCUCAUUAAUUUAUAACAUAUUAUAAUAUAUUUUUUAUUAUCUAUUAAACCAAAAUAUUAAAAAUUACGUUAGUAUGAUGUGUCGGUAUUUGGUUUUACGAGUCUUUUUAACUUAUAAUAUGUUCCAUAUUAUAUUAUAAAUUAUCAAUAACGAAAUAUUAGAAGAUUGAUUGGUUGAUUUAUAUAUGAUUUUAUAGAUCUUCUUAAAUUAUAAGAUGAAAAAAAAAAAUUUUAACAUUCUCAGUAAAAUAUACAUGUUCAACCUAAUUUUUUAUUAGCCGUUUGACGGAAUUAACUAUUAAGAAUUUAUCAGCUGUUAAAUAAAAAAUUUAUAAAAUAAUAGUAUUCUAUUAUAAUUUUAUUCUCACAAUAAUAUUAAUUUAAGUUAAAAUAUAUACGAUAAGAUAGCAAAUAUUAUAACCGCCCGUGCAUGGCACGGGUUAUAAGCUAGUAAUAAUAAUAACUAAAUUUAAGAUUAUUCCAACAAUCACCCCCAUAAUCUUAAAUUUACUUAACAGAAUUUAUGAAGCACUUCUCUUCAUUUGUGAUGCACUUCUCACCACCAACAAUUUGUUGAUGCACUUCUCAUCAACAACAAAUUCACUGGAGCUCUUCUCUCCCAGUGCACAUAAUCACCCAUAACUCUAAAGUAGAGGUUCUGCCUCCAUCAGUUGUGCCAUGAUUUCUUCAUCACCUUGAAAUCUACAAUUCUUUGCCAAGUGCCCAUAUCUUUUGCAUUUGAAGCAUUGUGGCUUUCCUUUGUUCCAGCAGUCCUUUUCUUCGUGACCGAUGUUAUGAGGGGUACUUCAAUUUUUCCACCAUUUUCUUCCUCCCUCAUUAAUCUCCUUUGAUCUAUGGCACUAAGAGCAUUGACUAAUUCCACUAGGGUUAUUUUGGAUAGGUCUUUAGAAUCUUCAAGUGAAGAUAUUUUAGACUCAUAUUUUUCAGGAACACUCACCAGAAUUUUAUCAACAACCCUCUCGCUAGCAAAUGUUUCACCAAACAACCUUAUUUGAUUAACAAUGCUCAUAAGCUUACUCACAUAUUCCUUAAUAGUUUCGUUCCCCUUCAUCCGCUGCAUCUCGAAUUCUCGUUUGAGAUUCAAAACUUGCAUCAACUUUGUUUUAGCAUUUCCUUCAAACUCUUCCUUUAACGUGCUCCAUGCCUCUUUUGGUGACUCACAAGUCAUGAUACUUGUAAAGAUUCCAUCCGACACCGCCGAAUGAAUACAUGAGAGUGCCUUUGCUUCUCUUGCUGCUUCCUCGUCACGUUUUUUGAUUUGAGCUGCGGUUGGAUUUUGUGGAAGAAUGGUUAAUUCAACAUCACUUUCAAUUGUUUCCCACAGACUCAUAGCUUUCAAAUAUGAUUUCAUUUUGAUAGCCCAUGAAUUAUAGUGAUCUCCUUUGAAUGUAGGUAUCGAAAGAGAAAAAUUAUUUGACGCCAUUUGAAAAAAAAUACAAAGAUUGCUUAUCUAUAUAUAUUUUUUCAUAACUUCACAAGCCCUUUAAACCUAGCUCUGAUGCCAAGUGUAGAAUAUAAAACUGAUUCUUAUUAAUUCUUGUUCCUCUAAAAAAGAGAUUACAUGCUAUAUUUAAAACAAACGUACUUGACUCCUAACAAUACUCUACUACUUCUAAUAAAUCUCCUAAAAUAAGAUAGACUCAAUACCUCCUACAAACUCUCUAGAACUCCAACAAUCAUCCAACUACUUCAAUCUAGAAUUAAUCCUCAAAAUAAAUAACUAAACAAAUAAUAAUAAUAACUAAAUUUAAGAUUAUUCCAACAAUCACCCCCAUAAUCUUAAAUUUACUUAACAGAAUUUAUGAAGCACUUCUCUUCAUUUGUGAUGCACUUCUCACCACCAACAAUUUGUUGAUGCACUUCUCAUCAACAACAAAUUCACUGGAGCUCUUCUCUCCCAGUGCACAUAAUCACCCAUAACUCUAAAGUAGAGGUUCUGCCUCCAUCAGUUGUGCCAUGAUUUCUUCAUCACCUUGAAAUCUACAAUUCUUUGCCAAGUGCCCAUAUCUUUUGCAUUUGAAGCAUUGUGGCUUUCCUUUGUUCCAGCAGUCCUUUUCUUCGUGACCGAUGUUAUGAGGGGUACUUCAAUUUUUCCACCAUUUUCUUCCUCCCUCAUUAAUCUCCUUUGAUCUAUGGCACUAAGAGCAUUGACUAAUUCCACUAGGGUUAUUUUGGAUAGGUCUUUAGAAUCUUCAAGUGAAGAUAUUUUAGACUCAUAUUUUUCAGGAACACUCACCAGAAUUUUAUCAACAACCCUCUCGCUAGCAAAUGUUUCACCAAACAACCUUAUUUGAUUAACAAUGCUCAUAAGCUUACUCACAUAUUCCUUAAUAGUUUCGUUCCCCUUCAUUCACUGCAUCUCGAAUUCUCGUUUGAGAUUCAAAACUUGCAUCAACUUUGUUUUAGCAUUUCCUUCAAACUCUUCCUUUGACGUGCUCCAUGCCUCGUUUGGUGACUCGCAAGUCAUGAUACUUAUAAAGAUUCCAUCCGACACCGCCGAAUGAAUACAUGAGAGUGCCUUUGCUUCUCUUGCCGCUUCCUCGUCACAUUUUUUGAUUUGAGCUGCGGUUGGAUUUUGUGGAAGANGAAGCAUUGUGGCUUUCCUUUGUUCCAGCAGUCCUUUUCUUCGUGACCGAUGUUAUGAGGGGUACUUCAAUUUUUCCUCCAUUUUCUUCCUCCCUCAUUAAUCUCCUUUGAUCUAUGGCACUAAGAGCAUUGACUAAUUCCACUAGGGUUAUUUUGGAUAGGUCUUUAGAAUCUUCAAGUGAAGAUAUUUUAGACUCAUAUUUUUCAGGAACACUCACCAGAAUUUUAUCAACAACCCUCUCGCUAGCAAAUGUUUCACCAAACAACCUUAUUUGAUUAACAAUGCUCAUAAGCUUACUCACAUAUUCCUUAAUAGUUUCGUUCCCCUUCAUUCACUGCAUCUCGAAUUCUCGUUUGAGAUUCAAAACUUGCAUCAACUUUGUUUUAGCAUUUCCUUCAAACUCUUCCUUUGACGUGCUCCAUGCCUCGUUUGGUGACUCGCAAGUCAUGAUACUUAUAAAGAUUCCAUCCGACACCGCCGAAUGAAUACAUGAGAGUGCCUUUGCUUCUCUUGCCGCUUCCUCGUCACAUUUUUUGAUUUGAGCUGCGGUUGGAUUUUGUGGAAGAAGAGUUAAUUCAACAUCACUUUCAAUUGUUUUCCACAGACUCAUAGCUUUCAAAUAUGAUUUCAUUUUGAUAGCCCAUGAGUUAUGAGGGGUACUUCAAUUUUUCCACCAUUUUCUUCCUCCCUCAUUAAUCUCCUUUGAUCUAUGGCACUAAGAGCAUUGACUAAUUCCACUAGGGUUAUUUUGGAUAGGUCUUUAGAAUCUUCAAGUGAAGAUAUUUUAGACUCAUAUUUUUCAGGAACACUCACCAGAAUUUUAUCAACAACCCUCUCGCUAGCAAAUGUUUCACCAAACAACCUUAUUUGAUUAACAAUGCUCAUAAGCUUACUCACAUAUUCCUUAAUAGUUUCGUUCCCCUUCAUUCACUGCAUCUCGAAUUCUCGUUUGAGAUUCAAAACUUGCAUCAACUUUGUUUUAGCAUUUCCUUCAAACUCUUCCUUUGACGUGCUCCAUGCCUCGUUUGGUGACUCGCAAGUCAUGAUACUUAUAAAGAUUCCAUCCGACACCGCCGAAUGAAUACAUGAGAGUGCCUUUGCUUCUCUUGCCGCUUCCUCGUCACAUUUUUUGAUUUGAGCUGCGGUUGGAUUUUGUGGAAGAAGAGUUAAUUCAACAUCACUUUCAAUUGUUUUCCACAGACUCAUAGCUUUCAAAUAUGAUUUCAUUUUGAUAGCCCAUGAAUUAUAGUGAUCUCCUUUGAAUGUAGGUAUCGAAAGAGAAAAAUUAUUUGACGUCAUUUGAAAAAAAAUACAAAGAUUGCUUAUCUAUAUAUAUUUUUUCAUAACUUCACAAGCCCUUUAAACCUAGCUCUGAUGCCAAGUGUAGAAUAUAAAACUGAUUCUUAUUAAUUCUUGUUCCUCUAAAAAAGAGAUUACAUGCUAUAUUUAAAACAAACGUACUUGACUCCUAACAAUACUCUACUACUUCUAAUAAAUCUCCUAAAAUAAGAUAGACUCAAUACCUCCUACAAACUCUCUAGAACUCCAACAAUCAUCCAACUACUUCAAUCUAGAAUUAAUCCUCAAAAUAAAUAACUAAACAAAUAAUAAUAAUAACUAAAUUUAAGAUUAUUCCAACAGGUACUACGGUAUGUAAACAACUAAAGAUCCAUUACUAUAGGUAAGUACACUACAUAACUUAAAUUUCAAAUAUUGGUCUCUCGUACUCCAAACACUGAUUAUUAAGAACUCUGUCACUUAUUAUUGAUACUACUAUAAAAAUAUCAAUUUCGUGAUUCACAACAAUGCAUGUUGAUAGGAAUCGGCAAACAACUUAUUGUAUACUUUGACAACCAUCACUACUUUCUCCCGAGGAUAAAUAUAUCGAUCAUCAACAGAAAAAGAGAAGGCAACAAGUUGUUACUUCAAAUUAAGCACAAAUUAAAUACUUUAAAGUCCGCAAUCUCCUCCCAUCCGAUCGAUAGUGACUUCACAGUGAUGGCAAAGAAAACAAUAAGUGAACUCUAUUAUAAAAUUUAUCUCGAAUAUUAAACCAAUUAUCAGUAGAUUUGCAUUUUUUAGUCUAAAAAAAAUAUUAAAUACAAAUCGAUAUAAAUUUUCAGAUUGACGAACCAAUAUUAAAUGACAAAUCACACGGUGCUAAACGGGUAAAAAAAUCUUAAUACAAUAUAGAUCUCUUAUUGUCCCAUAUAUUCUUUUAAAAGAAAUCGUGAUUGAAAGUACAAUUAUACAAAUAAUAAAAUAAUAUAGAUCUCUUAUUGUUGGAUAUAUCUUUUUAAAGGAAUCAUGAAUACAAAUACAAUUAUACAGAUAAUAAAAUUGUGAUUAUUAUUAUUAUUAUUAGAUAGGUGUUGAUCAAAAGAGUUAUUGGAUACCUGGAUGGUCAAUGUUAUAAACUCCAACUUUGUUUAAACAUGAUAAGAAAAAAGAGAAUUAUUAUUUUCAGAAUUGUUAUUUAUUUAUUUGUAAUAUAUUAUAGAUUGAGGGAAAUGUAAUAUAUAUGACUGUAUUUGAUAGUGCACUCAAUUAGAUAUAAGCAUUGCUAAGUCUCACAAUAUCCAACAGAUAUUGUCGCCAUAACAAAAACAUACAUAAUCCAAACAAAAUACCAACUGAAAAUGUCAGAAAAGAUAAUAUAUAUAAAUGUAGAAGAUGAUAUAGUGAUGUCAAGGCCCCUAUUAACAUGUUGGAGGAGAUGUUAUCGUGAGGUUAGUCUAUUCGCAACAGUGGUGGAUCCAGCUCCGAAAGUAAGAGAGGUCAUAUAUAAUAUUUUGUAACGAUGAUUAAUUAGAAUGAACCUAGGAAAAAAAUAAUAUUCAUAUCAUAUAAAUUUUUACCGUUGCACAACAUAAAUAAGUCAUGUCCACUUUGAUCAGAAUGGUGGAUACCAAAAUGAUAACAUAGAAAAUAAAAACAAUUAAUAUUCAGAUUAUGUAAUUUUUUACCGUUACACUACAUUAUGUAAAAUUAAAAACAAAAAUUUAAGGGGAUCGACUGACCCUCUAUCCACCCUAAUUCGCAAACAAAAUUUUAAGGGCAUCGACUGACCCUCUAUCCACCCUGAUUCGCAAGUUGCUUAGUGGAUGAAGGAAAAUUCCAAACUCAAUAUGCUUGAAAUCGGGUGUGUUCUCCUUGAUGGCAAUCCUGAUGCGAGAUCCAAAGCAUCUCUCUGCUUCCCAUUCGCAUAACCUGAGUGGAAGUUGAGGCAAGAACUUAUAGUUUUUCAUGUAGCAGAGCAUAGCUUCCGAGAGCUAACGAAGGAACCAUGGCAAGAUAAGUAGGAUCGAGUACCUUCUCCUCCCCUCCAUAAAUAUUAUGCUUAGCAAAUUCGUGACAUUGUAAUUCUACAGCUCCAGAAUCACUGUUCGACUUGGGAAUUGGAGGGGACCGGAAAGUGUCUCGAACAGGCUGAUAUGCAUCAUGCGAACCCAUCACUGUUGUCUUAAUUUUCGCAUAUAUCUGAGGGCUUAUAGGCUGUCCGACUUGGGAAUUGGAGGGGACCGGAAAAUGUCUCGAACAGGCCGGUAUGCAUCAUGCGAACCCAUUAUAGGCUUCUUGCUAAAUCUAACAACAUUGCCUUCAAUUAAAUUGAAGAACCAGACUCCAUGAAUCCGAGGUUUUGGUGUUAAGCCCCUGAUUCCGGUGAUAACAAUUUCUUUUCCCUGAGGAAUCUGAUCUGAAAGUACAAAUUUAAUAAAAAUUUGUCAGUGAAUUUCAACACAUAUUAGUAUUUUAAGAAUUGUAAAAUGUCCUUCUAAAUUUUAUAAGAUACAAAUGUUCUUCUAAAUUUUGUCUCUCACAUUUUAUAUUGUAAGUUAGGAACGGAUCUUGGGCUAAGUUAGACUGGACCUAACCCAAGUCAAAAUCUUUCAUUCGAUUUAACAUAUAAGCCUCGCUUAGGUCUUGUCCCUAUUUAAAUAUGUAUAAGCUUGUCAGUUAUAUAGUCUAAGUCUCUUGUACAUUCCACAACACAACAAUAUAGAUUUUGAAAAAAUAAAAAUAACUAGCAGAAGAAUAAGAACUCCCAAAUAAAAAAUUAGAUAAGUAGAAAAAGAAAAAGAACUCCUAAUAGAAAAUCUGGCAACUAAUACUCCAAUCUUUCAAAUUUCAAAAAAGUAAUUUUCGAAAUUUCAUCUUCCUUAAUCUCCAUUGAUUCGUGAACACGAUUAAGUUAAAUAAACAAUUUUACUUUUUCAAUACUUUUAGUAGCUUGAUAAUUCCUCAUAUAAUUACAAAGUGUAUCUUAAACAAAAGAGUUGAUGAAUUUCAAUGUAUGGGAAAAACAAAACCAAAAUUAUUAGUGAGAGUUUUUCUUAUACUCUCUGUGCUAAUUAAUUCUGACACUAAAAUAUAAUAUAAACUACGUGUAUUUUUAAUAUUAUCAACAAUUUAUCAUUUUUAAUUUGAACUCCACCUACUCUAUAAAACAAAUAUAUAAAUACCUGAGAAAAUAAGUUGGUUGAAUGGAAGUCCCUUCUUCACGAAAUUCGACGGGAAUACUGUUAAGAAAGUAAAAUGCCUCUAAUUUUAGUUCAUGGAAAAAUUUAAUUAGCAAUAACCAUCUAUUGAUCCUUAAAUUAGAGGCCCACUUUGAAACAAAUUCUUCAAGCACUAGUUUCCCCCUCAAUUCUUUACAUUGAAGUUGGGCACGGAGAUUAAGAAAUAUGUAUAAAGUAGUGGAAAAGAGAAAGAAAAGUGGGUGAAGUGGUGAGACCCAUUGAUAUUUAAUAUAUAAAAAGAAGAUAGUGGAGUAAAAGUAGUGUGAAAAGGAAGAAAAAGUGGGAAAGUGGUGGGGCUCGUUAGCUAUUUUAGGAAAGUUUUGUAAUGUAAAGAAAUGAGUGGGACGUCCAAAAGAAGAAACCGUAAAGAAUUUAGAGGGACAGAGGGAGUAAUAUAGUAAUUAACUUUUCUAGUUAAACUAACGAGUGAUGGGACUGAAAUGCAUCACCUAAUCCAUGGGGUGUGACCAUGGUGAAAAUGUAGCUCCUCGAGCAGUGAGAAUCACAUUGACCUCUGUUGAAAAAAUAAUCGAAAAACAAAUCACGUAUUAAAUUUAAUGGGAAAUCAAAGACAUACGACUCCAGACAAGGUCAGUCAAAUGGUUAUAUAUACAAGAUUAUCACAAACUAACUAGUGUGAUUAUAGAAAGGGAAGGAAUAGUAUCUAACAUCAUCUCAUCAGCACAAACUACAUUUUGCACAUUUUCAUUGGUCAUUUGAAGAAAAUACAAUCUCCGAUAAUUUAACAUUAAAAUAUUUUAUACCAAAAGAUUUUUUUUUAAAUAUAUCAUAAAACUUUAUUUUAUACUUAAGAUGCGAGAUAAUAAAAAAAUAAAUAAAUAAACAAAGCGGAGAGAAUAUUAUUUUUAAUUAUGAAAAGAAAAUUUAAAAAUAAUACAAUAAAUUAUACAGUAAAAACACUUAAAAUGAAUGUCUAGCCUCAAAAGUCAAAACUAAUUCCCGUAUCAGACAGAACUAUACAGUAUAAAUAUUAUUUAUAAAUUAUAAUACAUAUAUAAAUAUAUAUAUAUAUGUACAUAUAUACACGUGUGUUUUAAGAUAAUAUAUACAUAUAUUUAUAUUAAUAUAUCAUGAACCGUAACUAAGUAAUAUAUAUAGAAUUUAGAUUAUAGUUUGGUAUAGGUCGGAGGAUACUUUAAUUAGGUUCAAUUCUUUUUACAUACCUUAGAUUUCAUCCAAAAGAGUAGUGUGAAAUAUACUAUCAAAAUCAUAGACUCGCAGCCUUGGACUCUUUCAUCGAUCUAAUACCGUAAAGAUACAAAGAGAUAACAUUUAAUAUUAUAAAAUAAUUUUUAAAGAUUUAAUACGUAAUUUUUUUUUUCUUUUUCUCAUUUCUUGCGGUUUUAUAACCGAAACCGAACCGACUAAAACCAAACCGAGGUUUUUGAAACCGAAACCGAUCCGACGGUUCGGUUGCGGUUUCGGUUUUUAAUUUUAAAAACCAAAAAUUUGCGGUUUCGGUUCCGAUUUUAUCUUAAAACCGCCCCAAACCGAACCACGCUUACCCCCAAAUAUACUUUGACAAAUUGGUUGCUGAUACUAAAAAAUCAGUAACAGUUAUUUAACUACUAGCUCAUCAACACCAGUAAAUAAGAGAGAGUAUCCUCAUACUCUAUUAGCUCUUUCUUGGUUUCCCAACUCCAUGCUCUCCAGGCACUUCUCUAGAUUGUGUCCAAGUCCUUUUAACAGUGGGAGACGGUAUUUAGCUAUAUACAUUAUUAUAUUUCCAAUUGCUUCUACGUGUUCUUUUUGAAAAAAUUACUCAUAUUAUGAAAAUGUUAUAUACUUUUUUCGUUAUAUGUACCCUUAAUUAUUAAAUUUAAAAUUGAGAGUACAUAUAAAUUUGUUUCGAAAGAAGAGCAGGACAUAUAUUAUUUUGAAAGAAGACAUGUAAAAAGGGAAUGAGUGAGUCUAGCGGUCAUCGUCUUUUAAAAGUGUGCAGUGUAACUGAUUUCUCUUCUUAAUUUAUUGUGGUCAUCAUUUUCAUUUUCAUUUCCUUCAUCUGAUUUUGUGAAGAACAUGUAUUGAUUCUUUGUUUCUUAUAAAUAAGUCAAAAAAAUUGAAGGCAAUAAGACCACAUUACAAAUUAAAUAAUUAUUGUAAUUUGUUACCUGUCUGGACUCUUUGGCAUAGGUUCAUUUGCAGCGAUAUAUAAAGAAGACUUAGCUUGAAUUACUUCAGGAUGUGCAAAAGAAUUAAUAUUAGUGGGUUUGCAUUAACAGGAGUAGAUGAAAGUGAAACCAUGAAAGUUUUGCCAGAAGUGGUGGAGCGGAUCCUGAUGGUAAUCAACAUGGUGAUCUUUGGGGCCGUUUGGGUUAGCUUAAAAGAAGUGACUUCUUGCUUAUAGUAAAGAAGUGGAGUAGAAGUGAGAAGUAAAUAAGUUAAUAAAGUGUUUGGAAAAGAAGCAGAAGCUGUGAAAUAGAAGCUAGCCUUCUCAGCUUCUUAAAAGGGCUUCUACUUCUUUGCACAAACGGGUCAAGAGAAGCAGAAGCCAGAAGUAGCUUCUGCUUCUCUUGGCCAAACAGGCCCUUUAUGUUACGUUUAACGUAUUCUCGAUAAUUUCUUGUCUUCAUUGGUGAUAUCUACUUUUCCUCAUAUGCCAUUUGGCCAUUUUUUGUAGUUUAAAUUCUGAUAAACUCUAAUUUUAUUGUGAAUACUCUAGGUCCGAGAAGACCCUAUCUUCAGAAGAGAGGGUCCUGACAUUCAUGUUGUUGCCAUUUUAAGUAUUACUCGGGUAUUUACUAUUCAAUUUUCUUUGUUCGACGUUCUUGCAACCCUGGGCAACACAUGACUUAGUACCUUUACCCUUGUCAAACUAUUGACUAUUUAUGUAUGAAUCGAAGUUCUUACUAGAGUUUUUGUAGGAAAUGAGCUAGUAUGAAUACAUUAUUAUUUGGAUACUUACAAUGAAUAAUGAUCUGAGAAAAAAGAAACAAUUUAGUGAUUCUGCAAAUUAAAGUUGAAUGAAUGUAGCCAAAUGAUUAAAAUGUAUGGUUCCUGAUUUAUGACUCAAAACAAAAAAGUAUAUUUACUGAAAUAGUUGAUAUUAAACUAACGGUGGAUGCUAAAGAGUUGUAUGCAUUUAAGUAUUUGUUUAAUAUUUUGAUCAGUUAAAAAAAUUUGUGCAGAAUAUAUACUGUAUAUUAGAGAAAUGUAGAUAUUAAGAUAUGUAAUACUUGUAAAAGAACCUUUAGAGGCUUUUUUUUUUAAUUAAAACAAAAUAUUUGCAGGUUCCAUGAAUAAAUUUUAUGUCAUUGCUUCCAUGUAGAACCCUAGUUUACUUUAUCAUUCUGGACACAUUUGUAGGAAGAAUAUGAUUGGAUACAGAGAAUCCGAUGCAAAGAUAGCUUUGGAUAAUUAAAAUGAUAACUAAAUAUUUUCAACUUCUAGCCGAUGCAGGUCAAUUGAAGAAACCGAGUGACUGGACUGCUUGGAUUUAUUUAUAAUGUAUAAAUGGAUAUUGGUAAGAAUCCACAUAGAUGCAAAGGAAACAGCAGUAAAUUGGUUUAUAGCAUCUUGCCUCAGUAUUUCAAGCUGCAAGGGCUUUUACCUAGCUCGGUGCUUCAAAGAAUAUAAAUAUGUGGCAUCAUAAAGACUCUGUGAAUUUUGUUUUGAUAUUUUUUUGGAAUUUGACCCAGAGGCAGCGUGAAUUGAUUGAGGAGUUCUCAAAAGAAGAGCAUGGAGAAGAUGAUAAAAGGGAUGAGAAAAGGAAUGCAGCUGGCGCAUCAGGUUAACAAAGCUUUAUAUAAUUCCUCUGCUUCAUUAUAGUACCUAGCCGAAGCAGAAGUAAAAGCAAUUUUUUGGGGAUAUCGGAGGCAAAUAUAUUCCUCACACCCAACAUGGAGAGUUUUGUAGGAGUAAGAUUCAUGCAUUGUAACCUUUUCCUUCUGUUCUGAGAGGUAUGUGUAAUGACUUUUAUUAAUCAAAAGAUAAUUUAUAUAAAUUGCUAGUACCAGAGAAUGGCAAGUCUUAUAUGAUAGGUGAU
rnacentral:lncRNA from 1 species